UAGGGAAUCUUCCGCAAUGGGCGAAAGCUUGACGGAGCAACGCCGCGUGAGUGAUGAAGGUCUUCGGAUCGUAAAACUCUGUUAUUAGGGAAGAACAAAUGUGUAAGUAACUAUGCACGUCUUGACGGUACCUAAUCAGAAAGCCACGGCUAACUACGUGCCAGCAGCCGCGGUAAUACGUAGGUGGCAAGCGUUAUCCGGAAUUAUUGGGCGUAAAGCGCGCGUAGGCGGUUUUUUAAGUCUGAUGUGAAAGCCCACGGCUCAACCGUGGAGGGUCAUUGGAAACCGGAAAACUUGAGUGCAGAAGAGGAAAGUGGAAUUCCAUGUGUAGCGGUGAAAUGCGCAGAGAUAUGGAGGAACACCAGUGGCGAAGGCGACUUUCUGGUCUGUAACUGACGCUGAUGUGCGAAAGCGUGGGGAUCAAACAGG
rnacentral:rRNA from 1 species